rnacentral:lncRNA from 1 species
GGUCAAUGGGGUCAAUGGGGGAAAUGGGGGCAAUGGGGGCAAUGGGGGAAAUGGGGUCAGUGGGAGCUUCAGGUUCAAUGGGGUCAAUGGGGUCAAUGGGGGCAAUGGGGGCAAUGGGGGGAUUGGGGUCAAUGGGGUCAGUGGGGUCAGUAGGGUCAGUAGGGCCAUCAAUAGGGUCAGUAGGGCCAUCAAUAGGGUCAGUGGGGUCAGUGGGGUCAAUGGGGUCAGUGGGGCCAUCAAUGGGGUCAGUGGGGCCAUCAAUGGGUUCAAUGGGGUUAGUGGGGUCAAUAGGGCCACCAAUGGGUUCAAUGGGGUCAAUGCGGUCAGUAGGGUCAUCAAUAGGAUCAAUGGGGUCAAUGGGGUCAAUGGGGCCAUCUAUAGGAUCAAGGGGGACAACGGGGUCAGUAGGGCCAUAAAUGCAGUCAAUGGGGCCAAUGGGAUCAAUGGGAUCAAUGGGGUCAACAGGAUCAAUGGGGUCAAUGGGGUCUAUGGGGUCAAUGGGGGCUAUUUGGGGUCAGUGGGGUCAGUGGGGCCACCAAUGGGUUCAGUGGGGUCAAUGUGGUCAGUGGGGCCAUCAGUGGGUUCAAUGGGGUCAAUGGGGUCAGUAGGGCCACCAAUGGGGUCAGUGGGGUCAAUGGGGUCAGUGGGGCCAUCAAUAGGAUCAAUGGGGCCAAAAUGGGUCCAUCAAUAGGAUCAAUGGGGACAACGGGGUCAGUAGGGCCAUAAAUGGGGUCAAUGGGGUCAAUGGGGUCAGUGGGGCCAUCAAUGGGGUCAAUGGGGUCAGCGGGGCCAUCAAUGGGUUCAAUAGGGUUAGUGGGGUCAAUAGGGCCAUAAAUGGGGUUAAUGGGGUCAAUGGGGUCAGUGGGGCCAUCAAUGGGGUCAGUAGGGCCAUCAAUAGGAUCAAUGGGUUCAAUGGGGCCAUCAAUAGGAUCAAUGGGGACAACGGGGUCAGUAGGGCCAUAAAUGGGGUCAGUGGGGUCAGUGGGGCCAUCAAUGGGGUCAGUGUGCUCAGUGGGCCAUUAAUGGAGUCAGUGGGGUCAAUGGGGCCAAAAUGGAGUCAGUGGGGUCAAUGGGGUCAGUAGGGCCAUCAAUGGGGUCAGUGGGGUCAGUGGGGCCGUUACCUGCAGGGGGAAUUCGGGGCUGUGUGGAGCCACGGCGGCGCUGAGAUCCCGCAGGCGCUGGCGCAGUUCGGGGCCGUCGCACUGUAGGGCCGAGCAGGCGGCCGACACCAGGGCCAGCUGUGGGGUUAUGGGGUCAGUGGGGUCAAGGGGGGCAGAGGGGUCAGUGGGGGCAAUGGGGGCAAUGGGGGAAUUGGGGGCAGAGGGGGAAUUGGGGUCAAUGGGGUCUAUGGGGU